AUCCUGGCUCCAAAGAACGAGUUGGCGCACGUCGGUCCACUUUCUCAGGGAACCCUGAAAUGUAGCUAAAACAAAACAAAAUGAAGCAAAAACCUGAUGCUGUUUGCCAUUGGCCAGACUUACAACCACUUGGCAUUUGAAAAAUAAAAAUGGCUUUAAGGACAAAUUGGGAGCAGAACCAUAACAGUCCUUCAUAAACUACCAAGUCCAGAGAAGCAAGAAGACAAGGGAUCUGUCUGUGGUCUUCGUGAACAGAUCUCAUCCAGGGUCCCUGGAGCUGUAAUUCUAAACUGCCAUCCACACAGAGGAGCCAUUUGGAUGGCCCAUGAGACUGAGACCCUGCUGCUCUUCCAGCCCUCCCUUUUCAGAUCUGUCCUCCGAGGAUUGAUAGAGGAUCAGAGUGCCACUGGUAUUUGUCCCAAGUAAUUGGAUUGACCCUUAGAAGAAAAGAUUCUAUUGGCCAGAACCCAGUCAUAUGGUGCCAGCCUAAAACAAGGAUGGUUGAAGAAGAGGGGUCUUCUUGUGUCACCAAGAAGAGGAAAUAAAAAUGCUUGGCCCAGUCUUCCAUCACUUAUGGAAACAAUUGCCUGGAUUAAAGGCCCUCUACUUAAAAUACCAAGUGGCCGAGAGCAGGAGAGCAGUGGUUCACGCCUAUAAUCCCAGCACUUCAGGAGGUCUAGGCGAGAGGAUCCCCUGAACUCAGUAGUUCAAGAUCAGCUUCAGCAACAUAGUGAGACCUCGUCUCUACUAAAAAUUAAAGAAAAAACAAGCUGUGCAAGGUGGCAAGCUCCUUUAGUCCCAGCUGCUCAAGAGGCUGAGGUGAAGAUUGCUUGAGCCCAGGAGUUUGCAGUGAGUAAUGAUGGCAGCCAGCUUAGGUGACAGAGCAAGACCCUGUCUUCGAAUAAAUAAAAUAUCCAAGUGGUUUCCA
rnacentral:lncRNA from 13 species